rnacentral:misc_RNA from 1 species
GAUGAAGAACGUAGCGAAAUGCGAUAAGUAAUGUGAAUUGCAGAAUUCAGUGAAUCAUCGAAUCCUUGAACGCACAUUGCGCCCGCCAGUAUUCUGGCGGGCAUGCCUGUUCGAGCGUCAUUUCAACCCUCGACCUCCCCUUGGGGAGGUCGGCGUUGGGGACCGGCAGCACACCGCCGGCCCUGAAAUGGAGUGGCGGCCCGUCCGCGGCGACCUCUGCGCAGUAAUACAGCUCGCACCGGGACCCCGACGCGGCCACGCCGUAAAACACCCAACUUCUGAACGUUGACCUCGAAUCAGGUAGGACUACCCGCUGAACUUAAGCAUAUCAAUAAGCGGAGGA